rnacentral:rRNA from 1 species
UGGGGAAUAUUGGACAAUGGGCGGAAGCCUGAUCCAGCAACGCCGCGUGAGGGAUGACGGCCUUCGGGUUGUAAACCUCUUUCAGUACCGACGAAGCGAAAGUGACGGUAGGUACAGAAGAAGGACCGGCCAACUACGUGCCAGCAGCCGCGGUAAUACGUAGGGUCCGAGCGUUGUCCGGAAUUAUUGGGCGUAAAGGGCUCGUAGGCGGUUUGUCGCGUCGGGAGUGAAAAACAGCGGGCUUAACUCGUUGCUUGCUUUCGAUACGGGCAGACUAGAGGUAUGCAGGGGAAGAAUGGAAUUCCUGGUGUAGCGGUGAAAUGCGCAGAUAUCAGGAGGAACACCGGUGGCGAAGGCGGUUCUCUGGGCAUUACCUGACGCUGAGGAGCGAAAGUGUGGGGAGCGAACAGGAUUAGAUACCCUGGUAGUCCACACCGUAAACGUUGGGCGCUAGGUGUGGGGUCCUUUCCACGGAUUCCGUGCCGUAGCUAACGCA